rnacentral:rRNA from 1 species
UACGAAGGGGGCGCGCGUUGUUCGGAUUUACUGGGCGUAAAGGGCGCGCAGGCGGUCUUGAAAGUCAGGCGUGAAAGCCCCGGGCUUAACCUGGGAAUUGCGCUUGAUACUCUGAGACUGGAGUACGGGAGAGGAGAGUGGAAUUCCCAGUGUAGAGGUGAAAUUCGUAGAUAUUCGGAAGAACACCAGUGGCGAAGGCGACUCACUGGACACAUAUUGACGCUGAGGUGCGAAAGCGUGGGGAGCAAACAGG